CUUUCCUAAAGUCUUAUCGAAGUCCCCCGAAUGCCUCGCUGCCCUCAAAUAAAUGAUUUCCAUUCAAACACAUGUGUUUGCCAUGACCUGCAUUUGAAUUUCUCAUGAAGAAAUAUUCGUAGUCAAUACACCCAUCUGGCCAGGUACCAGGAUUACACCACAUGGAAGCUAUGUCUGUGGUGCAGAUAAAGCGAUGGCUCAGGCAGGGGACCCGAGGAAUUCCCUGCAGUGGACAGACAAGCAUGGCAGCUGACGGCUCAGGAGCUGCAAAGCAGAAGUCUCUGAGGAAGGUUUUGAUGGAGGGCCAGAGCCAAACAAUAAACCCUGCUGCGCUUCAGGAAACCAUCAAGGAUUGCAUGACAGGCCCUGCGUUCAUAAGCAGAUAGCGGCAGCAGCAGUGCACUUUCCAAAGAUCACAAAUCCCCUGCUUUCUGAAAGUGGAAAAGAAAAAGACACCGUCUUCAGUGUAAUUUGACACUUCCAAUUUUUGACAUUAAGCUUUUCUUCUUUUGGGGGUUAUUUGAUAUUCUGCAAGUGCUUCCGAGAUGAAUAAUGCCAGAAAAGUGCUCUCAUCUCACGACACAAAACUCGGUGUUGCACCCUAGUAAAACAUGACGUUUCUUGCAGGGACGAGUCUCCCACCUCACUGCAUGGUUUGGAAUUGGCCAGCCGUUGCAAUCCCCCUCCGGCAGGUUUUCUCAUCCUUUGUUGGGAGCAAGUUUUGACAACAGCAAUGCUAAUUGAUUAAACGUUCUAAUCAGAGAUUACAG